rnacentral:misc_RNA from 1 species
UACUCUCACACUCUCUGAUCCUUUGGAUUCGGGGAGCGGUGGACUUGGGCGUUUGCUGCUUUGCUUGUGGCUCGCCUCAAAUGCGUCAGUGCACCUCUCGGUUGGACAUAGUACGGCGUGAUAAGUGUCUUCGCCGGCACCUCGAAAGAGGGUGGCCGAUUGGGAGCUCUGUGCUUUCAAACCGUCUUCGGACAAUCUCUGACA